rnacentral:misc_RNA from 1 species
GUGAAUCAUCAAAUUUUUGAACGCAAAUUGCACUUUCUUCGGAGAGUAUGACUGUUUGAGGGUCAGCCUAAAAAAAAUCAACAUAGUCGCUGUUUUGCGGUGAGAUUCGUCGGCGAUUGGGUCACCUUAAAAAUUUGGGUUUUAAGCGGCUUAAAAUUUUAUUUACGAUUCUACGUAUGUUACUAAGAUAUAUUUACACGUUUAAG